rnacentral:rRNA from 1 species
AGAGUUUGAUUCUGGCUCAGGAUGAACGCUGGCGGCGUGCUUAACACAUGCAAGUCGAACGAGGUCCAACCUUCGGGUGAAGACCGAGUGGCGAACGGGUGAGUAACACGUGGGGAACCUGCCCUUCUCUCUGGGAUAACCUCGGGAAACCGAAGCUAAUACCGGAUACUCCUUGCGGACCGCAUGGUCUGCUCGGGAAAGCUCCGGCGGAGAAGGAUGGCCCCGCGGCCCAUUAGCUUGUUGGUGGGGUAACGGCCCACCAAGGCGACGAUGGGUAGCCGAGCUGAGAGGCUGAUCGGCCACACUGGGACUGAGACACGGCCCAGACUCCUACGGGAGGCAGCAGUGGGGAAUCUUGCGCAAUGGGCGAAAGCCUGACGCAGCAACGCCGCGUGCGGGAUGAAGGCUCUCGGGUCGUAAACCGCUUUCAGCAGGGAUGAAAAUGACAGUACCUGCAGAAGAAGCCCCGGCUAAAUACGUGCCAGCAGCCGCGGUAAUACGUAUGGGGCAAGCGUUAUCCGGACUCAUUGGGCGUAAAGCGCGCGUAGGCGGCUUGUUAAGUCAGGCGUGAAAUCCGGGGGCUCAACCCGCGGCUUGCGUCUGAAACUGGCAGGCUUGAGUCUGGUAGAGGAAAGUGGAAUUCCUGGUGUAGCGGUGAAAUGCGCAGAUAUCAGGAGGAACACCAGUGGCGAAGGCGGCUUUCUGGGCCACGACUGACGCUGAGGCGCGAAAGCUAGGGGAGCGAACAGGAUUAGAUACCCUGGUAGUC